UUGACCUCAAAUCAGGUAGGACUACCCGCUGAACUUAAGCAUAUCAAUAAGCGGAGGAAAAGAAACUAACAAGGAUUCCCUUAGUAACUGCGAGUGAAGUGGGAAAAGCUCAAAUUUAAAAUCUGGCAGA
rnacentral:rRNA from 1 species